AAGCACACUGAGUCACAGCUGGUUACUUUGCUUUUUCAAGCAGAACAAGAGUCACUGCUGCUCCCAUCCCCUCAGAGCUGCAAGGCCUGUGCUUGCUUGACUCAAGAGCUGCUCCUCCCCAUGUUUGGAAUCAAGUUUGAUUUAGCCCCCAUGGGAGCAGCUUUGCUACAAAGUAGCAGGGAAGUAAGGGGAAAGGGUACAGGAAUGUCUCAUAAGAACCUUUAGAACACUUCAGAAACUGGGCAAAAAGAAAGACAAAGUGAAGAGAUGUGAUUUAUCCAAAAGGCCGACAGCAGAAGUAAAAAUUCCAGAAUUUAAAUACAGGACUUGACAGAUUGUUUCCACAGUUAGGAAUAAUCUGUCAAUCACAUGAGCCAGUAUUCUGUUUUAUGUUUUACAUACUGUGUUUUCCAGCAUAGAUUUCAUUCAUGUUUAUGCAGUAACAUAUAUACUAUUGCAG
rnacentral:lncRNA from 1 species